AUAGUGAUUCUUAUAUUACUAUUCUUUCUCAUAAACACAAACCCUUUUACGUCUCUUGACAAAAAGAAAAAAAUCUACACCUCUCUUCUUUCUAGAGAUAGGAGGAGGAGAGAAAAUAUUUCCAUUAUACAACAUUCAAUUAAGGUAUUUGGUAGCAACAUAUAUAUAUCAAUUACAAUUGUUGUCAAAAUUCAUCAAUAUGGCUAAGACAAUGAGAAAUCAAAGUUCAUGGUUGGAGGUUGCCCCAGCACCUAUAAUUUUCCCAACAAAGCCUUCUUCUAAUACUCCUAAAUUGGAGACCAUUACCGAAGAAGCUUCUGAAGAAUACGAUGAUAUAUAUAUAUAUAUAUAUAUAUGUAUGUAUGGUUUGUGACGUUGGAUCCAUCAUCAUCUUUGGAAAUAUUUUGAUGAUACCGAUAUCUCCUCGUCCAACCGUGGCUCUUAAAUUUGUAAGUAGUGCAAGAUUUUGUGAGUAGUAGAUAUGCAAAGGUUAAAUAUGAAAUAUGUUUUGCAGGCUCUAGCUUUUUGAAGAGAAACUAUAGUUGUGAACUUGAUCAUGAUUGAGUUUGCAACUACCUUGUAUAUAUAUAAAUGUUGUAAAAUAUGUUCGUUUUUUAAUGUAUAUCUUUAUUGUGAUCUAUAUUUUCAAAUGAUGCUUUGUUAGAUUAUAUGUUGCAAACAACCAAAGACAUAUGUAAGGAUGGAAAUGUUAGAUGAACUUAAAAACUAGGAUAAGGCAAAUUAACGGAUGGGUGUUAGAGAAAUUAGAAAUAACAUCAUCCCAAAAACUAGUUUGUAGAGGUGUGACAAUUCCAGUCAUUGUUAUAUAUCUUGACUAAGUCUAAAGGACAUGGGACUUUAUGAUUAACAAACCUUUUAUGCUUAAUAAUAACACAUUUAGAACAUGUUAUAUUGUGAAAGAGAAUAUUUACCCAAACGUACCUCAUGUAUAUUCAACUAUAGACGCCUAGAUGGUGGGUGAUAGUAUAUAUUAGUAGAACUUAAAUUACUUGGGCCAAGUUAUACCUGGCUAAUAUAUGAGUUCUUAGGUUGAGAUUCUAUUCAAUACUGGAACUAUUCUAUUCUACGGGCUGAUAACAAAAUUGUUUAUAUUGAAUGAUACUACGUCGUCAUUUGUGGAAUAACAAGAGGUUUCACCUCAAAAAUUGGACUGUGUAAGAAAGAGGAACAAUGAUCCUUUCAAUUAAUGAAUUCAUUAUAAUUAGAAAGGUAAAUAUGUCAUUGGAGAUUGUAUUUUUCUUUAUUUUUUAAUGUAUUUGUCUCUCCAUUAAUGGAGAGGAUCCCAACACAAGAAAGAAGGUAGCCUUUGC
rnacentral:lncRNA from 1 species